rnacentral:rRNA from 1 species
UGGAGGAAAGCAGGGGAUCGCAAGACCUUGCGCUUUUGGAGUGGCCGAUGCCUGAUUAGCUAGUUGGUGGGGUAAGAGCCUACCAAGGCGACGAUCAGUAGUUGGUCUGAAAGGACGACCAGCCACACUGGGACUGAGACACGGCCCAGACUCCUACGGGAGGCAGCAGUGGGGAAUUUUGGACAAUGGGGGAAAGCCUGAUCCAGCAAUGCCGCGUGAGUGAAGAAGGCCUUCGGGUUGUAAAGCUCUUUCAGUCGAGAAGAAAAGGUUGUGACUAAUAAUCACAACUCAUGACGGUAUCGACAGAAGAAGCACCGGCUAACUACGUGCCAGCAGCCGCGGUAAUACGUAGGGUGCGAGCGUUAAUCGGAAUUACUGGGCGUAAAGGGUGCGCAGGCGGCUUUGUAAGUCAGAUGUGA